UUGAACGCCGGCGGCAGGCCUAACACCUGCAAGUCGAGCGGAUGAAGGGAGCUUGCUCCUGGAUUCAGCGGCGGACGGGUGAGUAAUGCCUAGGAAUCUGCCUGGUAGUGGGGGAUAACGUCCGGAAACGGGCGCUAAUACCGCAUACGUCCUGAGGGAGAAAGUGGGGGAUCUUCGGACCUCACGCUAUCAGAUGAGCCUAGGUCGGAUUAGCUAGUUGGUGGGGUAAAGGCCUACCAAGGCGACGAUCCGUAACUGGUCUGAGAGGAUGAUCAGUCACACUGGAACUGAGACACGGUCCAGACUCCUACGGGAGGCAGCAGUGGGGAAUAUUGGACAAUGGGCGAAAGCCUGAUCCAGCCAUGCCGCGUGUGUGAAGAAGGUCUUCGGAUUGUAAAGCACUUUAAGUUGGGAGGAAGGGCAGUAAGUUAAUACCUUGCUGUUUUGACGUUACCAACAGAAUAAGCACCGGCUAACUUCGUG
rnacentral:rRNA from 1 species